rnacentral:rRNA from 1 species
GACGAACGCUGGCGGCGUGCUUAACACAUGCAAGUCGAACGGAAAGGCCCUGCUUUUGUGGGGUGCUCGAGUGGCGAACGGGUGAGUAACACGUGAGUAACCUGCCCUUGACUUUGGGAUAACUUCAGGAAACUGGGGCUAAUACCGGAUAGGAGCUCCUGCUGCAUGGUGGGGGUUGGAAAGUUUCGGCGGUCGGGGAUGGACUCGCGGCUUAUCAGCUUGUUGGUGGGGUAGUGGCUUACCAAGGCUUUGACGGGUAGCCGGCCCGAGAGGGUGACCGGCCACAUUGGGACUGAGAUACGGCCCAGAGUCCUACGGGAGGCAGCAGUGGGGAAUAUUGCACAAUGGGCGGGAGCCUGAUGCAGCAGCGCCGCGUGCGGGAUGACGGCCUUCGGGUUGUAAACCGCUUUCGCCUGUGACGAAGAGUGAGUGACGGUAAUGGGUAAAGAAGCACCGGCUAACUACGUG